rnacentral:rRNA from 1 species
GAUGAACGCUGGCGGCGUGCCUAACACAUGCAAGUCUAGGGAAAGUAACUCUUCGGAGUUAUGGAUACUGGCGAACGGGUGAGUAACGCGUAGAUAAUCUGCCCCUAUCACAGGUAUAACGUUUGGAAACGAACGCUAAUCCCUGAUGAGGUAUUCAUAUCAAAGUCUUCGGACGGAUAGGGAUGAGUCUGCGUAAGAUUGGCUAGUUGGUAAGGUAAUGGCUUACCAAGGCGACGAUCUUUAGCUGGUUUGAGAGGAUGAUCAGCCACACUGGAACUGAGACACGGUCCAG